rnacentral:snRNA from 1 species
UCGCUUCAGCAGCACAUAUACUAAAAUUGAUUAGCAUGGCCCCUGCACAAGGAUGACAUGCAAAUUUGGGAAGCGUUCCAUAUUUGU